ACAAAGUUUUGUUCCAAAGUUUGCAACUAGUUGAGUUGAGACAAGCUGCAGCAGUUCUCUUAUACUUGUAUAAAGUGGGUUUAACAGUGCAGUGGAAAUUCAUGCCCGGAUUCUAAAUACACAUGAAACGAAGAGAAUCUUUGCCCUCUACUGGAGAAGUGAGGUAAACCACUGUGUGUAUUAAAACCAGAAAGCUGUUGUACGAAACGGACUGAGGCUGGAAUCGUGUGGACAUUAAAAAGUGUACAUCCUUCGAAAGAGUGAAUGUGUGUUUAGAAAGAAUCCUACUGCAACAUAUAGUGAAUUAGUUCAAAGUUGAUGUCAUCCUUAGUCAUUAUUGCAAUCUCUCCCUUCCCAGUUGCCCCUCCCUGCAGCCACCUUUACCCAGCUAAUGUCUGCUUCGGAUUCCUUUCCUGAACUCCAUUGCCUGCUCCAAUUACCUUGUUUUUUGUUUCCUUGAAGCUGCAAUAAAAUUCACCAUUUUCACCCAAACUACGUAAAUGUAUAAGGAUGUAAAAUAUAGAGUUUGGGGCAUGAGGCCAAUUUGCAGGUUAGCUAAUUUCUGAAGUGACAAACAACCUGAUAACACCCUCAGCAAUAUAGAUUUCGAGAAUACAGAAGCAAAAUAACUGCAGCCUCACACCUCAUUCGUCUUAUGUCAAAAGUGAUGGGGAUGUAUUAAAUGGACACUUGGAUAAAAAGGAUCUGAUUGAUCAUGGUUGGCACGGACUUGCGAAUGAGACAUCAUAUUAGCCUGUUUUGAGGCUGCUACGAAUAAAAUCUGAACUGCUGGAGAAAUCCUGAAGUGUAUCUCACAGUCAGACGUUUUACCACUUCUCCAGCUUGUCUACAUUGCUGGUCUCUGGAUGUUGGGUGGAUUGAACAACGUUUUCAGUUUUCCUAACCCUAUCACAGUCAGAGUUCCAACAAGAUGAAAUCCGCAUCUGUUGAAGUUACGACUGUUAACAAAAGUAAUGUGCUGCCUCUGACUGAUCCCAGGGUGUUUCUCGAUGGUAAUUCCACCGUCAGGAAGCCGGAGGUUGUCCAACCAGAGUCGGUCGGUGUCAGCCUGUAUUCCACUGUCGGAGCUGAGAUUCAGUGUGUCGGGGUCCUGAGCUACCAGCUUGGCUCUUACUACUUUGGGGUGAUGUUUGAAAACCCCGUGGUGGUCGGAGAGCUGUGUCAGAUGCUCGGCUUGUACGUGACGAUGGACCCCGGGGAGAGGGACGAGCUCUACGCCAUCAUCAAAAGCCGAGAUCCGUCCGCCGUUCUCCAGCGCUUAGCGCUUUUUGGCCCUGAUCAAGAGCAAGGCAUUUCUGUCAACCUCAAUAAUGUCCAAAUCUCAGCAACUAUGACCCAGGGCACUGACUGCCAUGUUAAAGUCAUUGUCAAUCAUGCAUCUGCUUAAUGUGAUCGCUGACUACUGCUUUUCUUUUUCGUUGCAUUCCUUGAUGUUUGACAAGCUCCUCUCAAACUGAACAUAGAACAUUACCGCGCAGUACAGGCCCUUCAGCCCUCGAUGGUUUCAUAGGUUGGUGCAACAAUCAGAAGCCCAUCUAGUUUACAGUAUUCCAUUAUCCCCCAUAUGUUUAUCCAAUGACCAUUUAAAUGCCUGUAAAGUUGGCGAGUCCUCUACUGUUGUAGGCAGGGAGUUCCACGCCCUUACUACUGUCCGAGUAAAGAACCUGAAGUGCUUGUGAAUUGUUUGUAAACUCUCGAGUCAAGAUUAGAAUGGUGCUGCCAAAGCGGAGCAGGAGAAUCGACGUUUCGGGCAAAAACCUGACGAAGGGCUUUUGCCGGAAACGUUGAUUCUCCUGCUCUUCUGAUGCUGUCUGACCUGCUGUGCUUUUCCAGCAUCACUCUAAUCUUGACUCUAAUCUCCAGCAUCUGCAGGACCCACUUCCACCCUGUAAAUUCUCAAGCUCUAUUUACACUGGGACUCUCAGUGACUCUGUGAUUCUACACCUCCGAUUAUUUCCCUGUCAGCCCUGUACUUGUUGAAAUACAUUGGCUUGCAGUCAGGCAGCUCCUCAUUUUAAAAACCUUCCCCCUUGUUUCCCAAUCCUACCUCAGCCUCACCCCCUCCCUAACUCUCUCAUCUUCUCCAGAUCUUACAACCCUGUAAAAACUGUGCUGCUCCUCUUGUAUAUCCUUGAUUUUAGCCCCUCCGCCAUUUGGAAGGUGUGUCUACAACUGCUAAGGCCCGAAGCCCUGGAAUUCCUUCUCCAAGCCUUUCCACCCUGUUCUUUUCCUUUGGAUUCUCCUUCAAGUUUGCAGUGUUGGUCAAGAGUUUUAGUAUCUCUCUGGUAUUAGGUUUUGUCUAAGGGAAUGCUUUGUAAAAUUUUAACCUGUUCAAGAAGAUGCAUAAAUGAUGUUUGCGGGGUCAAGGGGAGCACCAGUAGAGACCUAUCUGGUUCGUUCAUGGUUCUUCCCAAGUCAUUGUAACAGCACAGAAUGGAGGCUCACUAAUGCUCUUUAAGGAGAGAGAAUCUGCUUUCCUUACCUGGUCUGGUCUACAUGUGACUCCAGACCCGCAGCAAUGGGUUGACUCCAUAAAUGAACAAUUAAGGAGGGACCAAGUCUGUAAAUUGGACUGCUGUUUUUUUCCCCCUGUUCUGCAGAGCCCAGCAUUAACAUAACUGCAGCGGUGAAGUGAUUAUUCUGAAUUUGGGCUCUUUGGUGAUCCUGAGUGUUUACGUCACAGGCAGGGGGCCACACUUGGUGUACGUGUACGGGUUUGGUCACCUUAACCUAAGAGAGGGCAGAUCCUCUUUGCAGAAAAUGUAACGAGGGUUCACUCAAAUCAUAGAACCGUACAGCACAGAAGAGAUACUUUGGCCGAUCGAGUCUGUACCACCGAGAAUACACUUCUGCCUGCACUAGUCCCACUUGUCCGCACUAGACGCACAGUUUUGAAUGUCAUGACAUUUCAAGUGCUCAGCCAAAUACUUUUUAAAGGUUGUGAGGUUCCCCACCUCAACUCCCCUCACUGGGAGUGCAUUUCAGACCCCACCACCUUCUGGAUGAAAAGAUUUUUUUUUCUUAAAUCCCCUCUAAACCUCUAAACUUUCACUUUAAAAUUAUGAGCCCGUGUUAUUGACCCUUCAAUUCGGGGGAACAGAUGCUUUCUUUGCACACUGUCCAUGCCCCUCAUAAUCUUAUACCCCUUAUCAGGUCCCCCUUCAAACUUCUCUGCUCUAUGCUUACCCAGCCUCUCUUCAUAGGGUCAUUCCUGUGCUGUCAGCUGAGAUGGAGUGGCCUAGUGUUGACUGCUGCUUUUUCACUGGACUCCUUGAUGGUAGGUGAUAUUCUGUUUGACCAGUCCUUGUUUAUUUACACCUCAGGCCUCAGGGCGUUUGCAAUUUGCGACCAAGUGCUAUUUGCCCCAACACCUCUGCUCUUGCAAAAUUCUGAAGGGGUCUUCAGCGUAAAUGUUGGGAAGGUGCAUCCUGAUUUUGGCAAAACACUGAGAAUAAUGAGUUGGCAGAGGACUCCAAUAAGGAGCUGUUUCCUUACACAAAGUGUAAUCUUUGAGACUGUCUACCCAGUGGGCAGGAGAGGCUCAGUCACCAAGAAUUUUCAAGAAAUAGAUCAAUAGAGUUUGAAGAAUAAGGGCCCUGGGGGGAAGGUGAGACUUGAGGUUUUUUUAAAAAAAAACGUCAGCUUUGACUUUGUUAAACAGUGGAACAUAUACCAAUAGCUAAACAACCGGUCCCACCAUGGGCAUCGUGGUAGGGGAUUAAUAAUCCAAAAUCCCAGGCUGGGGAGCAUGGGUUCGAAUCCCACCAUGCAGAUGGUGUUUGAAUUCAAUAAAAAUCUGGAAUAAAAGCCUAAUCUAAUUGUGAUUGUGAUUUGCUGUAAAAACCCAUCUGGUUCACUAAUGUCCUUCAGGGAAGGAAAUCUGCCAUUCUCACCUGGUCUGGCCGACAUGUGACUCCAGACUUGCAGCAAUGUGGUUGGCUCUUAACUGUCCCCCUGGGCAAUUACAAAUGGGCAAAAAAAUGCUGACCCCGCCAGUGACACCCACAUCCCAUUAAUUAGCCUUUAGAAGAGCUCCUAUGUCUCAUGUUCUUUAAGGUGAAAGGGCAAAGGUUAAAUGCCAAUGAGCCAACAAACAGAAGUAACAGACAGCAAGAAUAACUCUGAGCUAAGGAAUUGAUCUUUAUAUGAUGGAAUACAAAGCAGUGGAAGCAGUUUAAUCAUUGGAGAAGGUUCUGUGGUAUUAGAACAUUAGCUUGGGCACAUUUAAUUCUUUAUAACCUGCAUGUUGCUUUAUUGGUUUAUUGGGAGCAGUUUACAUUGGCAGAGCAUUUCAUUCACCUGUGGGGUAUUCUCAGCGGUAUGAUAUUAAAUGUCUAAAUUGCAUUCCUUGUUACUGACUAUACAAACCUGCCUGUUCUUUCCUCAGAAAAGCCAUCUGCUGAUUUGCAGAUUUCAUUGACUGGGAAGCGUGUCAUGUUUACUGAAUUAAGUUCUCUGUUCUGUUCAUAUUAUUCCUUCCCUUCCCACGUUCUUCUGAUUUUCUGGAUUAAAGCUGGCGUGUUGUUUCAUUGAGUAGUUGCUGUUCAGUAUUUAGUCCCAUUUGGCCUUGCCUCUUGUGCACUUUUUUCCCACCCACUUACCCCCCCCCCCCCCAAUCACUCCCUCCCGAGUGCGAUAUUAAUUCCCAAUCCAUCCACUGCACCUCGAAUGAUUUUCCUUCCAGAUGCUGUACGGUUGUCAUUGCUGUUUUUGAAGCAUCGUCUUUCUUCCCAGUUGCUCAUCAACACUCCUCUCUCAUCAUUGACUUUGUGAGUUGGGUGGUGCAAGUAUCUAUUUAUCCCAUUCCCCUAAACUGCAGUGUUUCCCACGAGCAAUAAAAAACAGUGCUUUGAGGGGCUUGCCCAUUCAUUUUACUGUUGUUUUAAAUAAUCUACAACCAACCAAACACCAGCUUUGCUACUCAACCACCUUUGCCUCCAACUCCCACUUACCAGUGAUCAUGCUAUUGUUGGUUAAUUACUUCACAACACUGUGAGGCAAUCAGUCGAAAUCUAAGUGAAUAAAUUCAGAAUUGAUGCAGACUGUUCGGUCCUCAGCCAAGAACGCUCCGCUAUAUUGUACUUCUGAAGAACUUCCAGGGUUUUAUUUAUCCAUGAUAGAAAAAGUACUGAGAUUUAUCCAGGGAACAGGAAUGGUAUGUCAAUGAGAGCUUCUGUGGUGGGAGGGCACAGUGGGCUGUCGGCUUAAUGGGAGCAAUUUGAAUAAGAAAUGUUUCAAUUGGCGUAGAAUAUUCCCAGUUGAUUAGUGUUGAAUACUGAAGCUAAAUUGCAUUCCCAUGUUUACAGUGCAAAGAUUACCCUUCUAUAUUUAUCCUGAAUACUGUCUCGUGUUGUUGUACAUGAGCUGACAUUUGAAGGUAGUCUUCCUGUAAAACAGAACAAUUUGUUAUCGACCUUUAUUCUGGGAAAUAUAAAAAUAACAUAAUUUAAAUGUUGCAAUUUAUAAUAUAUAAUUGAGUCUACCUUUUAUCCUUUUUGUUAAACUGUAGUCAUUAUGACCUUCUAUCUUUACUGUCACAACAGAAUUAACCCUGUUAUAUAAUGGUCAUAUGGUUAUUGUAUUGCUUGCAUAUUUUGCAAAUUAACAAUAUUUUUGCCUGCGAGUUUAGCCAUCUUGAUUUCUGACAAUGGUAUCUUUUAAUUGGAAUCAGUAGAUACCUGGAAUGUUGGAAUGGAAG